rnacentral:rRNA from 1 species
ACAAGCGGUGGAGCAUGUGGUUUAAUUCGAUGAUACGCGACGGAACCUUACCUGGGCUCAAAUGUAUGUUGACGUAUUCUGAAGGGAUACUUCUUCGGACAAUAUACAAGGUGCUGCAUGGUUGUCGUCAGCUCGUGCCGUGAGGUGUCGGGUUAAGUCCCAUAACGAGCGCAACCCCUAUCAUUAGUUGCCAUCAGGUCAAGCUGGGGACUCUAAUGAAACUGCCUACGCAAGUAGUGAGGAAGGUGGGGAUGACGUCAAAUCAGCACGGCCCUUACGUCCAGGGCUACACACGUGCUACAAUGGCCGGUACAACGGGAAGCGAAGGGGCGACCCUGAGCGGAUCCCACAAAAGCCGGUCUCAGUUCGGAUUGCAGUCUGCAACUCGACUGCAUGAAGUUGGAAUCGCUAGUAAUCGUGGAUCAGCCAAGCCGCGGUGAAUACGUUCCCGGGCCUU